rnacentral:rRNA from 1 species
GAUGAACGCUAGCGGCAGGCCUAACACAUGCAAGUCGAGGGGCAGCACAGAAACAGCAAUGUUUUGGUGGCGACCGGCGGACGGGUGCGUAACGCGUAUGCAACCUACCUUUAACAGGGGGAUAACGGAGAGAAAUUUCCACUAAUACCCCAUAACAUCGAUCAAGGCAUCUUGAUUGGUUGAAAACUCCGGUGGUUAAAGAUGGGCAUGCGUUGUAUUAGGUAGUUGGUGAGGUAAUGGCUCACCAAGCCUUCGAUACAUAGGGGGACUGAGAGGUUAGCCGCCCACACUGGUACUAAGACACGGACCAGACUCCUACGGGAGGCAGCAGUGAGGAAUAUUGGUCAAUGGGGGCAACCCUGAACCAUCCAUGCCGCGUACAGGAAGGCGGCUCUAUUAGUUGUAAACUGCUUUUAAACAGGGAUAAAGCACAGUAUGUAUACUGUGUUGAAGGUACUGUAAGAAUAAGGAUCGGCUAACUCCGUGCCAGCAGCCGCCGUAA